rnacentral:lncRNA from 1 species
AGGUUUGUUAUAGCAGCGAUUUCAAACGAUACGGAAUCGUACGAAGCAUGCGCAUACGAAUAUAGGCGUUCUAGCAAAGCAAAUCCAGGAUUCGAACUAAUAGUCACAAGUUCUAGCGAAGACGAAAUCCAGUUUGCAAACCGUAUGAGAACUGUCGAAGUAGUCCAGAGGAAUUCGUAAGGAUUUUCAGUUUGUGACAUGCGUAAAUAUUCGGAGUGAUCGAGUGAUCCGAUAUCACGUUUGUUAUGAUUUUGGAAUAUGGAUUUGUUGUUUAUGUUAUGUACUAAAGAAAUGAGAAACCAAAAUAGAAAUAUUUAGUGGCCUGAUAAUUGGUUUAAAAAUCUUGUUUUUUUAUAGAACGGCAAUCCUCAAAACUGUCAAUUUUUUCAUAUUUGCGUUUGGAAAUUCAGGUAGGAUUAGCCGAAAUGUCAUCAGAGUCAUCAAGCUCUGAAUCAAAUUGGGGAAAUAAUUCUGAAUCAUCCAAUGAUGAGGAACUUGUCGAAAUGCUGUUUCAUCACCAUGAGAAAGAGGAUGAAGAUAAUCACAUCAAUAGAGAUGCUGCAGACCACAGAAAUUUUGUAGCUUGACAAGUUUUAAGAUAGCAAUAAAAUUGUAAUAUUUCUGUU